UGACUUUUUGAGGACUUCAUCAUAAUACCUUACUUCUAUAAUUACAUUGACUUAAAUCAACUGAUUUACUCUACUCUGAAAAUAAGUAAGACUUACUCAACCUUAUCACACAUAUUUAUCAGCACAGUUAUGUUUUAAAAUGUUAUAUGCUGUAGCAAUUUCAGUCUUCAUAAUUUAUGGUACUAUAGUAUACGCUAUUUUUUGCCUGGAGCGCUAUAAUUUAUUUAUGUGUGUUUUUAUUUACAUAGAAUUUAUUACUUAGGAAAGAUACUUCAAUGUCUUCGAUGUUGGUAAUGCCGAAGAGCAGCAAUGUAGAAUGCAUGAACAGAGGAGUGGUUUUCGGUCAGCGUGAUCACAACUGUUAAGAGAUCCUAGUGCAACUCAGCCAGGGUCUACUGAUAAGCAUCAGCUUUACAUGAAGAGGAGGAGCAGUAUCUUCUUCAUCAAAUUUAUCUGGAUGGGGAUAGGAAAAAUA